rnacentral:rRNA from 1 species
UACGGAGGGGGCUAGCGUUGUUCGGAAUUACUGGGCGUAAAGCGCGCGUAGGCGGUCUUUUAAGUCGGGGGUGAAAUCCUGGAGCUCAACUCCAGAACUGCCUUCGAUACUGGAAGACUCGAGUCCGGGAGAGGUGAGUGGAACUGCGAGUGUAGAGGUGAAAUUCGUAGAUAUUCGCAAGAACACCAGUGGCGAAGGCGGCUCACUGGCCCGGUACUGACGCUGAGGUGCGAAAGCGUGGGGAGCAAACAGG